GCACGAUGUUCCCCUCGCGGAGGAAAGCGGCGCAGCUGCCCUGGGAGGACGGCAGUUUUGAGGUCCUGUAACCAGAGCAGCUGAGGAUUCAAACCUCGUAGUACGAAGGUCUGUAUGAGACAAGAAAGGAAAGGUCCGGGUUGCUCUCCGGCGGCCUCCCUCGGAAGUGUUCCGUCUUCCACCUGUUCGUGGCCUGCCUCUCGCUGGGCUUCUUCUCCCUACUCUGGCUGCAGCUCAGCUGCUCUGGGGACGUGGCCCGGGCAGUCAGGGGACAAGGGCAGGAGACCUCGGGCCCUCCCCGUGCCUGCCCCCCAGAGCCGCCCCCUGAGCACUGGGAAGAAGACGCAUCCUGGGGCCCCCACCGCCUGGCAGUGCUGGUGCCCUUCCGCGAACGCUUCGAGGAGCUCCUGGUCUUCGUGCCCCACAUGCGCCGCUUCCUGAGCAGGAAGAAGAUCCGGCACCACAUCUACGUGCUCAACCAGGUGGACCACUUCAGGUUCAACCGGGCAGCGCUCAUCAACGUGGGCUUCCUGGAGAGCAGCAACAGCACGG
rnacentral:lncRNA from 1 species